rnacentral:rRNA from 1 species
UACGUAGGGUGCAAGCGUUGUCCGGAAUUAUUGGGCGUAAAGAGCUCGUAGGCGGUUUGUUGCGUCGGCUGUGAAAUCCCGAGGCUCAACCUCGGGUCUGCAGUCGAUACGAGCAAACUAGAGUGUUGCAGGGGAGACUGGAAUUCCUGGUGUAGCGGUGAAAUGCGUAGAUAUACGGAGGAACACCUGCGGCGAAGGCGGGAUAGCUGGGCCAACACUGACGCUGAUGCGCGAAAGCUAGGGGAGCAAACGGG